rnacentral:tmRNA from 1 species
GGGGGUGAUCCGGUUUCGACGGGAUGCGUUGAGGUCGGGUUGCGCGUCGUGGAUCCUCGUUGGCCACGUUAAAAACGAGGGCGCGAUGUCGAAGCGCCGAUGUCUGCUGAGCGCCGAGGCAUAAUUUAGCAGGCCACGCUGCAGGGCUCUCCGCUCGGGCGCUGCAGGGUGCCGAACCGAUCGGAUGGUUGGGGAUAAGCCCGCCGGCUGGCAUACCUCUUCCGAGAUCAAAGGUCGGAUACACGCGUAGACGCUCGGUUGAUUCCAUUUCGGACGCGGGUUCGACUCCCGCCACCUCCACCA